GACGAACGCUGGCGGCGUGCUUAACACAUGCAAGUCGAGCGAGGCCCCUCCUUCGGGAGGGUGUCCUAGCGGCGAACGGGUGAGUAACACGUGGGCAACCUGCCCUCAGCUCUGGGAUAACUCCGGGAAACCGGGGCUAAUACCGGAUACGACCUCCACGGGCAUCUGCGGAGGUGGAAAGUUUUUCGGCUGAGGAUGGGCCCGCGGCCUAUCAGCUAGUUGGUGGGGUAGUGGCCCACCAAGGCGACGACGGGUAGCCGGCCUGAGAGGGCGACCGGCCACACUGGGACUGAGACACGGCCCAGACUCCUACGGGAGGCAGAAGUGGGGAAUAUUGCGCAAUGGGCGAAAGCCUGACGCAGCGACGCCGCGUGAGGGACGAAGGCCUUCGGGUUGUAAACCUCUUUCAGCAGGGACGAAGCGAAAGUGACGGUACCUGCAGAAGAAGCACCGGCCAACUACGUG
rnacentral:rRNA from 1 species